rnacentral:rRNA from 1 species
AUUGAACGCUGGCGGCAGGCUUAACACAUGCAAGUCGAGCGAGCGGCACACGUGUGAGUAAUAUCUGGGAAACCGCCUGAUGGAGGGGGAUAACUUCUGGCAACGGUAUCUAAUACCGUAUACCCUAAUACGCCCCCAUAUGGUAUUAGCUAGUAGGUGGGGUAAUGGCUCACCUAGGCGACGAUCCCUAGCUGGUCUGAGAGGAUGACCAGCCACACUGGAACUGAGACACGGUCCAGACUCCUACGGGAGGCAGCAGUGGGGAAUAUUGCACAAUGGGCGCAAGCCUGAUGCAGCCAUGCCGCGUGUGUGAAGAAGGCCUUAGGGUUGUAAAGCACUUUCAGCGAGGAGGCGUUACUCGCAGAAGAAGCACCGGCUAACUCCGUGCCAGCAGCCGCGGUAAUUC